GAAGCGUGGGAAGCAAGAAGAGGGCGGAGCUUGGAGGGGACACCCGGGCUGCCCUCUCGGGUCCUUCAAAACCGCCCC
ensembl:miRNA